rnacentral:lncRNA from 1 species
AUUUUUUAAUUAAAACAUAAAUUUAAGUUUAAAAAUUAUAUUUAUAAAUUUACAUUUUAAUUUGAACUUAAAUUAAAAAUUAAAAUUCAAUCAAACAUUUUGAAUCUAAUUUAAAAUUUUGAAUUUAAAUUUAAAUUUAAUUUAAAAUGUAAAAUUUUAGUUAUUUAAAUUUUAUUUAAAUUUUAAAUUAAAUUUAUGGAUUCAAAUCAAAAUUGAAAUUAUAAUUUUAAAUUUGAACUUGAAUAAAUCGAAAUUUAGUUUCAUAUUUUGAAUCAUCCGUUCAAUUUCAAUUUUUAAUUUUUUUAAAAUAUAUUUAAAAUUUUGACAUCAUUUUAAAAUUUUGACGCAAAUUUUUAAUAUUUAAUUUUCAGUUUGAAUGUAAACUAAUAUACUGUAAAGAUAAAUUUGGCAUAUUAAUUUGAUUACGUUUCUAAUAUCUAUCUGAACCAAAUACCGACAAUAAGAAUGAUUCAUUCCGAUUCCGAUUUAAAUAGCGAAGCAAAUAGAAUGAGGUAAUGAAUCAUUCCGAUUCUAUUUCCAUCUUAUUCUCGUUCCGAUUUCGAUAUCGAUUUCAAGUUCGAACCAAACACACCCUAUAUUUCAUCUUAUCAAAAUUUCAAGUUGAUGGAUUUAAACGCCCUUCAAUCAUCAGAGUUCCGUCACUACUAUUCCGUCCAUUUCUUAUAAUUUAUAUUGAAUAUACCCUUAAAUUGUUAGAAAUGCAAUAAAAAAAAUUUAUUGUUUCCUUAACAAGUAAAGAAAAUUUAGUCAUCUUAGAAAGUAAAAAAAUAUGGAUAUUCAUAAGGGAAGGUUUUUUUUUUUUUAUUUUAGCCAAUAAAGAAAGUUUUAAGGGUACAAAGCAUUCUCCAAAUAAAUAAAUAAAUAAAGUUUUAAAAGGGUACAAAGCAUUCUCCAAAUACAUAAAUAAAUAAAGUUUUAAAAGGGUACAAAGCAUUCUCCAAAUACAUAAUACGAGUAGCUGAAGACAUGCACCAACUAAUUUGAUGCAUCCACUUUUACACACACAUACAUUGAGAAUAAAAUAAAAUAAAAUACACAUGCUAUAAGAUAACACCUGCAUAUAUCGAUCAACAUUUUCAAUUUUCAUCGAGCACGGACGGAUUGUUUAGAAGAUCCGAGGCGGAAAAUAUGGAAGCAUCAAGCUCGGUCGGUGCCUUGCAAAAAGCGCACAAACUCACCUACAUGAUGUGGAAUAAAUUUAAUCGUUUCUGUGACACUCCCUUCGUCUCGUUUGAAUGAAAUAGUAAAAUUCGGGAUGUGGCGAACCCUCGUGCGCAAGUCAUUGCUGUGGUCGCCUUCUCCUCCUCCUCCUCCUCCUAGAAGCAGCUCAACAAGUUCCUCUGCUAGAUGGCCAAUGUAUAAAUCCUGAAGGGUGGUAAGGUACUCGAUGCCGUGGGGCAGCUCCUUUAGCUCGAGGCAACCGUCUAGCUGAAGCUUAUACAGGCUUGCCAUUGCUCCUCUUUCGAUUUCCACCUGACUGAGCUCCGGGGCACCUACUAUUCCCAAUUUCUUUAGCUUCGGGAAUGAUGUUGCUUGGAAGUGCAACUUCAUGCCGUCAUAUGCCUCAUAAAGGUAGAGAACUAUCAACGCGGGCAGCGCUUGCAGGUGAGGAAACGUAUCUUCAUCCAAUUUUGCACCUAAAAGGAAUAAUGAGGUAAGGUUUGUUAGAGACCCAAAGGAUGUGGCAAGCUCAGGGAGUGAGUUUUUUUCUAAUUCACCAUACAGAUGUAAUGCUUGAAUUGGUGGAGGUAGGCGCAGGGUGCCCAACUGCUGUAAUUCUUGCCCACGUUCACUGCUGACAAAUAAAUUGCUAAGAUGGCUCAUCUUUGUGAUACUAUUCCACAAGUCUGCACAGUGAUGGGUUCUUACGCCCGUUAUUGAAAAUGUCCGCAACUCUGUCAAAGCUUCUACAUUCCGCACAAUCUCCUCAGUUGCUUCAAUAGGUGUUAAAGUCUGCAAGCCCUUCAAGCGCCAUAUUCCCACCGGUGCCUUGAUGUUCUUACCCCAGUCGUCGGACAAAUGUAGAUGUCUCAACUUUUGGAGCUCUGUUAUUUCCUCCGGCAGCUUUUCUAUUCCAGUGUGAUCUGCAUCUAAUACUUGCAGAUUUCGUAGCUUCCCGAUUGAUCUUGGAAGCUCGUAUAUUCUUGUUCGCUGCAAGCCUAGAUAAUGCAGGUUGAAUAGGUUACAAAUCUCACUCGGUAGUUUCUCGAUUCGCGCUCCUUGUAGUUCCAAGACACGUAAAAAUUUUGAUGAUCUUAAGACCGACUCCAGUAAAUCAUUGCUCAUGGAAUUGUUGAAAACAAGCACUGAACGCAAAUGAGAUUUGUCUUCAGUACGAUAAUUAGUUAUAUUGCUUAGGAUUGACAAGCGGCGCACUUUGGAUCUCUGCAAUAUUGUCCGUGAAUUCUCGUAAACCAUGCAGAAACUUAACUCCUUUGACUCCGAAAGAGCAAGGACUCGAAUGAUGUCAUGCAUUCGACAUUCUUGAACUCUACCGAUAUCGUUCCUCUCAACCACUUGUAGUAGACAGCGGUGAACUAGUUCGUGAAGGUAGUCCUCGGCCACUUCCUCCAUCGUUAUUCCUCUUUCUUCAAUGAACCCUUCGGCCACCCAAAGCCUUAUGAGCCUGUAACUUUCAAUUGUAUAGUCUUCCGGAAAGCUGGAACAAUAUAAGAAGCAAUUUCGAAGGUAAUAGGGAAGAUCGUCAAAACUAAGUUUCAAAAUGUUAUGUACUUUUUCAUGGAGCUUCGAUUCGUUGUUAGUUAGAUACCACUCAAGAUCUUUGUAAACCUUCUCCCAUUCGGAACCUGUUUCAUCUCGAAAUGAUAAGAGACGGGCUAUAGAUACGAUAGCAAGGGGCAAGCCACCGCACUUCUCGACAACUUUUUUAGCACAUUGUUCUAAGGGCGGUGGGCAAAUCUUGUUUGCACUUUUCCAAAAUGCAUUUUUACAAAACAAAUCCCAUGAAUGACCUGCCUCUAGCGUCUUUAGCUCAAACAUACGGUUCUCGUUUGCUAAUAGUGCUACAUCGCGAAUCCUUGUUGUGAGAACUAUUCUACUCUUGCUAUUACUAUUCAGAAGUGCAUUCUUUAUAUUGUCCAGUACAUCAGUACUCCAAACAUCAUCCAGAAUAAGUACAUACUUUUUACACUGCAAAUAAGUGCGGAUAGUCUCAACCAAGCUUCUAUAAUCCAUGGUAUUAAUGUUGUUAGGUGCUUCUCCUUUCUCACGAUCUUUCCUAUAGAACUCUUUUAAGAUCUGUCUAAGCAAAUCAUCCGUCUCAUAACUUUGAGAUACAGCAACCCAGGCACAAGCAUCAAAAGAAGCUUCGAUGAUAUUGUACACAUGAGUCACGAGAGUGGUCUUCCCUAGACCACCCAUCCCCAAUACUGAGAUUAUCAUGGGCUGUCGUUGCUGCUCAUCCUCAUCUUUCAACCAUCUGAGCAACAAGUCCCUGUACUUGUCAAUACCCACGAUAUCAUCCUCCUCGACAAAAUGUGCUAAUUCUGCGGGGCUCUUGCUACCGCCAGCAGCUAUUAGAGGUCUUGCUUCAUUUUCCAUUCUGCUUGUAUCAUAUCGCUCCCUUCUUUCCUUAAUGUUUCGAAGCUUAACUUUGAUUUUGUUAAGCCUCUUGCUAAGGCGACGCCAAGUUGCUAUAUUUCUGCACAUCUUGACUGUUGUAGGCUGGACCCCUCCUUGCUCUUCACCGAGCUUGUAUGUGAACUCAUCUAUAAUAUCCUCAAUGUCGAAAGCCAAAUCUCUUGUUUGUUUUAUGAUGGUUGUUGUGCUCUCAUCCUUCUGUUUUAAUCUUUCAGCGAUCCGUAGGAAGGAUAGCAUGCUCUGAAGCUCACCCUUAAUGUCACUUAUAUCCUCCACAAGGUCUUCCAUUGCUGAUAUCCGUGUUAGUAAUCGUGAUGUUGCUGCUUUAGUUGCUUCACUAGCUAAGGUCGCACCGAUAUUUAGGAGUAAUGAGCUUACCACAGCCUCCGCCAUGGGCACUUCCUCUGAAUUGAGCCUAAAAUGUACAAUCUUUUCAAAUUACCAUGUCUCUUCAAAUGCACCACUAGCAAAAAUGAUUAUUUUUUAACGCUCUUAUGAUUCAAGGCAAUUUUUGUAAAAAAAUAUGUAAUUAAUUGUCUCAAUCGGAAUAACUCUGUAGUGCACUAAACAAACAUUUGUUAGAAUCCUCAGUUAAAAAAAAAGAAACACCAUUAACAGUAUUGUAGUCUGGAAGAACAAAAAGCAAUAACUUGUUCAAGAUUCAGUUUAACAAAAUUUUGAGAUUAAAGAUUCAUCAUAACUAGUCAUAUUGAACUCGACCUCAAUGUAUAUUUGUAGAUCAAGUUGUGAAAAAGUCCUUUAGAGGAGUAUGAAAUCAAUAAAGAGUUGGAAAGUAAAUCAAUCUGCUGCUAGCUAGUGAGUAGAUGGUAUCACAUUAAGCGUGAUUGUAAAUUAUUUUACAAUUAACAAUUAUAAAUCAAGUUUGUUUUGAAGCCCUCUUCUUGUUCAUAAUUAAGUUAAUAUUUAUCAGGACGAUAAGUCAUUUGAGCAAGAAACUAUUAGUGCUUUUUCAAAUAGUUUUGUUUUGAUAGAAAUAUAAGAACUUAAAUUUUAGACUCAUGAAACUCCCGUAUAUCUAAUAUGUUAAAUUUUAUUGCCUCGACAUUCAUAGUUUCAUACCGCCUAUUAUCAGACCAGAAUCUGAAAGUUCUAUUUCAACUUUUGUGAUUUGUGUUGCAAUUUGUAAAAGUUCUACAUUACUAGUUUUGAUAUUAACUGAGUUUUUUUUUUCCCAAAAUAAUUGUUAUCUUUGUGAGUUCAGCAGGAAUAUUUCUUAAGUGAAAUGACUUUGAUAUUUUUUUUUUUAUUUUUUUUUAUGAUGAGGCAUUUAAAUAAACGUCUUGUAUCGUUAAAUAUAAUCUAGAAUGUUUGCAUGGUUUAGAAACUGAAUUUUUUUUUUUUUGUCAUUAUCAUUUACCUAGUGAUCAAAUGGUCUUAAAAUUGAUAAUUUAACAAGUAAAACAAGACACUUUCUUCUUGUUUAACUGCAAAGAAAUAAAACCCUCUCAACUAUUUAGAUCAAGAGUUGUAACCAAGAUUGUGAAUUUAAGAUUUUUUUUUAAUUAUAUUUUUAGAAUGUCGCUAGUUUUGAACUUUCAAAUUAUGCCCACUUGGCAAGCCAGAAAAUAAAUUUUGAAAAUCAUAAAACUCUUUUUCUAGAAAGUUUAUGUAUCCUUUAGUAUAUUUAGCAUCUUGCAUGGUAUUGAUCAUCGAUUUAGACGCUCAAUCAUUAACAAUAAAGUGAAAGUAUAUAAUAAGGCCAAAUUAUUCUACCUUAAUUAUUAAUUAUCUCUUGUUAUUUUGUUACCAAAGAUCAAGUGAAUCGAAACAACAUAUAUAUAUAUUUGUAAGGACUGAGAUUUUGACAGUGUAACUAAACUCUCUGUUGACGAUGUUUAUAUGUGUAAUUUAAUUACAUAAGCACUCGUCAAGUUUCAGGAGAAAAUGAGCUAAAAUGGAGAAGAUACGCAAUUUUUAGUUUUCACUUAAGUGAAUAGUAACUCUGGUUUUCCGGAGAAGCCGCGGCGUAGAGUUGGCUUCUGGCACGUAUUGGACUUCGAACAUAGCAGUCCAAUAGCCCGUUUCGACCAGUUCAGCUAUUCUGGAACUAAUGGCGCUGACGAAUUUUGAGUUUGACGCACGGAUUUCGAGAAAAUCCAAAAAUACAUGUUUUAUAUGUAUUUGUGCGUAGUUCUUCUAUUGGAGAGUUGGAACGGUUCUCGCCGCGAAUCCGCGACCGAUCGAGAUGAACCAAAAUGGUAGCUAUGUUGUCUCCGUGGUGCUGAUCGCACUGGUGCAAUCCGUUCGCAAAUCUGACGGACGGACAAGCGGAGAUCGCACGUUGAUCGAGGAGAGGUUGGCGAUGGCAAAACGGUAAUUUCGCAAAAGUCGCGACAUUUUAUGUACCGUUUUACGCGAGAUCGCACGUGGAGGGGUAUUCGUGCAUUUUAUUCAAGCUGUGAGGGACUCGGAGCGAAAUAUCGAGUUUGGAGGGACUUUUGCACGAUUUAUCGCCUUACGUAUUUAAAGGCUUCUAGGGUUUUCCAUGAAACCCUAACCCUAAACCUAGCUCCAGCGAACCUAGCCGCCCUACCCCCCUUCUCCUCAUACGCCGCGCCCCUCCCGGCCGCCGCCGACCCAACCCCGGCCAGCAGCCAUCGCCACAGCCACCAUCUCCCACCUUCUUCUCUCUCCAUCUCCCUCAAUCCUCCUCUUUCUCUCGGGUUAGAUGCGGGCCGAGGCUACAUUGCCUCCAAGCACCUUGCCGAUGUCGCCCCCUGCCCCGGCGAGCCUCCCCGGCCGACCGCCGCCGCCCCUUGGGGCAGCGCCGCCGCCGCCGGGGCCAAUCCUGCAGCCGCCCCAGGUCUGCUCGGGCCGAGCAGACCUGGUAGCUCCAACCCCACGCCGCAGCCGCCCUUGUCCACCCCUGCGGCCUCCAUCAUGGCCUACGGUACCCCCUCCCCCGGCCGAAAGGGUCGCUGCCGCUGCCACGUGCCUUGGGCGCUGCCGCCCAAGGCUGGAGACCGAGCCAAGCUCGGCGCGGUUGCGCCCGAGCUGCGGGCUACCGCCGCCGUCGCCCGCCGCCUCCUCCUCUCCGUCCGGCCUCUAGGGCCCCGUCGCCGUCGUCCCUGGGCACCCCCGACCGCCGCCGGCUACAGCUGCACCGCUGAAACCCAAGCUCAGCAGUACGGGCUCGGGAUGUUCCAGCUUCGCCGCCGCUGCCUUCCGUCGCCGGCUGGAGCGAGCGCCGGUCUUCCCUGGCCGGCCGUACCCGUUCAUCGCCGGCUACCCCGCCGCCGGAGCACCCUGUCAACCGAGAUGAGCCUGAGCUCUCCUCGGGUUGUGCGGCUAGGGCAUCAUCGUCCUCCGCCUCCGCCACCUCCCGUCGUCGUCCGGUGCAAGCCCUGGUCUCCCCACACUGGCUGCACCCUCCUCUGCCAGCGCGUCCGCCGUCCGGCCUCCCGCGCCCUACCUUGCUCCGAUAAGCUUAGUUAAGAGCUUUUCUUGAGUAGUUUACUGUUCCGAGCAAUCCGAGGCUUCUCGAUCUCUACGGAAGGGAGCACAAUGAUUGUGACUCAUCGCUGAUCAUCGUGCUUACCUUAUUUUCUAUCGGGGAGGCUCCGUUACGCUGUUUCGGCGGUGUAGACCCUAUAAGAGCCUUUUUGGCUGCUGUUUCUGGUUUGCGUGCGUUGUUCCGGCGAUCCGAGGAUGUCCUGAUGCCUCCGGAGGUGAGAAUGGUGAUCGUUGGUCAGUGGCGAUCCCAGUGAUCACCUCACUUUUGAUCAACAGAGUCCGGUUAGUUCUGUUCGGCGUGUUUUUCCUCGACUGCGCGCUGUUCGCUGAACCUUCGGGUUGCUCCCGCGCUUCCCACAGUGAGUCAUUGUGCCCCAGAUCAUGAGCACGGCCUCCGGUACGUCGAGACCUGUCAGUACGUGUCUCGGCGGACCUUGGAAGUCCUUAGUUUGCGUGAACGAGCCAUGUCAUCGCCCGAUUUACAUAAAAUAUAGGGAUUUUACGUAAAGUGAGGGGCAUUUGUGCAAUUGUGCAUUAUGUGGCUACUGUGGGCAGUGCAUAUGUGUGUGUGGUGACCUCUGGACUGAUUAUCCAUGAUCCAUUAGCUUUUGCAGAAAUCGAAGAGUCGAUUUCGAUGCGUUUUGCGGCGAAAUUCGCCGAAAGAACGCGGUUUCGGUUCGGAUUUCUUCCAACGUGGUUUGUUUAUCCUGUGAAUUGUCGCUGAGCCUUGUUGGCUGGUCACCAUCAUCAUUUUGUGGGUUCAGUGAUGAUUGGUGAGCGACGGUGGGUUCCGGUGUCGAAAUAGACACUUUCGGGAACCCGGAUUCGUACAAUUAUCCGGCGAUAAUUUGUGUAGUGGUGUUAUCUUGUGUUUGCUGCCAAAACAUCCAAAUUGGAGUGUUUUGGGACAGCAGGCGACUCGUGACACGAGUCGGUGAGUUUCGGGACACUUAGUGGGUCCCGACGGCGUCCCAGUGUGGUUUUCGGGACUCCCGGCGAGUUACGGUAAUUGGAAUUGGGAAACCGAUCUUCGUGAAAUUGUUUGUGGGGUUGUGGAUACUGUGGUUAUUAGUUGUGGGUUAGAUACUAACCCGGUGAACCCUCUAUAGGUCCUGUCGAUAUUCUUUUGCAGUCAGGAGACAGACGCGACAUCCUUACAGGUGGCUACUUCGAUCCGACGUUGGUACAGUGGUGCAAGCUCGGUGAUGGUUUCUUACCCUUGCUCUUUUGUUAUUAUCCAUGCAUAUAUUAUAUGUUGAGCUUUGCACCUCUAUUGUUUACAUUACACCCACGUUGUUUGGUUAUACUCUGCUCGUUGUUUACAUGCUUAGUAUCCUGAGUAGGAGUAGAGUAGUUUAUCUGUAUGUGAUACCAUGUUUUCUUGUUGCUCUACUUGCCUGUUCUACAUAUCUUAUAUCAUGUUUAUAGUAGAGCGGUUCCGUGACUAUCUGUGAGAUUAGUGACCUAGUCGGUCGAUUCUAGUAUCCCGUAUUUGUGACCUAUUCGGUGAGUUCCUUGACUUUCGUUGUCCGAUGACCGUUAAGGUCGGUAUAACCUGAGGGGUGGUAUUGUCGGUUAGUUGCCGACGGAUGAUUAUAGUUUACUCAUAUCCACUAUUUGACAUGUUUGUGACCUAGUCAGUCAGUUCGUGACUCUUGUUGUUUCUCGUCGUUUGAUGACCUUUGAGGUCGGUGUACCCUGAGGGGUAGGAUUGUCGGCUAGUGGCCGACGGUAGUCCUAGAUUAUAUACUCAGAUGACUUGUUGAUCGAUUCUUGCAUAUAUACAGUAGUUAACUUAUUGAUCAGUAUCUACAUAUUUUUGGUAGGACGUUGAGUUGUUCCAUUCCAGUUGACUUGAUUAGUCAGUACUUGCAUACAGUUGAGAGGGUGUCGAGUUGUUCCAUCCUAGUUGACCUGAGUGGUCGGUUCUUGUACUUUCUUACAGUGGAUGAUCUUUUGGUCGGUUAGCCUCGAGGGGCGGUGAUUGUCGGCUGGUUGCCGACGGUUGGCCUUUGAGCAUAUCAGCAUUGAUCGCCCGACUCGUCGCAUUUCACGAACACUGGUGGUCUGAUCCACAGCAAGGAGUGUUCUUUUUCGAAAAAGUGGUUACUUGUGCCAACCCGUGAGCCCAGCGGUCAGGACUAGGUUAUAUGCAGGUAGAGUGGUAGUGGGCUUUUGCCUGAGGUCCUUAGACCGACACGGCGGUUUAGAUUGGGUAUUUUGGACUUCUUGUCCGGUUGACACAUAUGUCUAUAGUAGCAGUCGUUGCAUGCAUACUUACAGUUCUUACUUUAUAGUUGUCUUGCUACUAUAGUAGAUAUUCAUAUAUGCUUUCUGUUCCAGUUACAGUAGCGGUAGCCGUUAUUCAGUUUAGUUCCUACUUUCUUUCAGUUUAUUGCUACUGUAUUCAGUAUAUCUGCUCAUUACCUUAUAUAUCUCUUUCGUGUAUUAUUGUUGCUACUAUAUUUCCACUGACCCGUGUUGUUGUAUAACUCUUCCUGAUCCGGUGAGUACUCCUCGCCUUCUUCGGCUUGCUGUACCUACUGGGAGGGGAGACAUGUUUACAUGUUCUCUCCUCCCCCACUAUUUUUCAGGUAUCGCGGGCGAUGAGUAGUGGGACGAGACGUGAGGUACGUGUGUAGCGGUCGAUAGAGCCUCCGACCCAGAUUAUUUCGGUUUAGUUAUUACCCUUAUUAUUUUAGUUGUUAUAGCUUAGAUAGUUUAUAUGGUUCAGUAUUUUUAUUACAUUUGAAAUUUUGGGUUUUCAUGAGUGUAAUAAUCUGGUUUGUGAAUUUUGUAAAAUAAAAGGUUUUCUACCCCUCGUAAUAGCGUUUUUAAAAAGAUAAAAGUUUAUGUGUAGGAAAAUAAUUUUCAGAAGAUUUUCUGUGGAUUUUAUAUCUUAGUAUUUCAAAACCUGUUUCUUUGGUUGAAAACAUUUUAACUGAUAGAUGUGGAUUUAUGUUUAAAUAUUGAAUGUAUAAGUAUGAAACUGUGGUGAAUGGUGUAUGAAUGUAUAACUGUUGGUUAUUUGUAUGUUCGUCUGGUUGUGGUUGUAUCAUGUUUGAACUCUUGUACUUGUGCGACGCCGUGCAAAUACAGGGGAGACUCUACUCGUGUGAACAAUAGACCUCCUGUAUUUGUGGCGGAUCUGGCAUACUCUGGGGUCAGGUUUUCAAAAAAAAAAAAUUUCAGACGGUUUUCCGCUAUGCUUUAAACUAAAAAGGGACCCCGGGGCGUGGCAGAUUAAAAUGGUAUCAGAGCCAAGUUACAACCACAACACCAUUCAUAGGUUGUUUUGAAAAGUAAAUGAAACUGAACCAUUGGUUAGGUUGAACCAUAGGAAGACCUACGGUAUAUAGGAACGUGAGUGCGGGGUUUGGGCUUGAGUCCCGGUGUGCAUGUCGAGUUUGGUAAACUCGAAUACACGAUUAUUUCCUUAUGUACUACGAUUUUUGCAAAGCUGGUGUCCUAGUCGGGACUAGUGGCGGUGCUUCUUUUUGGACAUUGAGUGGUGGGGCGGUAUUCCCCAAGUGUUGCCACUCCUGUCAGGUGGGGCCUUGAAGGGCCAGGUGAUCUUCGGGUCUAGGCGAGUGUCAUAACUGCCGACGCCCAGGCCACUCUCUCUACUUAGGACACGAGAGCUGUUGCGAGUGUCUCUACGGAGACGGCAUUGUGAUCAGUUACGAUCGUGACUUCAAUGGGGCUAUUAGGGCGUAGCCCAGGGUUUGGUUAGCGGUCGUUUAGGCGACUGCAUUGUUAGUGUUGCUUCCGCAGAUCUUUGGGUAGGGUUGCGAUGCCUACCUCUCUUCCUUGAUUACUGAUUAGAAUUAGCGGUUUGGGUCUUUUGACCUUGAACUAGUCCUUUCGCCAAAUUGACGUGUACUAGAGUCGGAUUGACACAGUUUUGGUGUCAAGUUUUCGUUGGGGCAUACAUCGUAUGCGGAUAUUCUAACACCUAAAUUGGUGUGUUGUGGGUUAGUUGUAGUUGGUGAUAGGUUUCGUCUUGAUUCGAGAGACUCCAGGUUGUUGUAGGAAUUCUCGGAACUUUGACUAAAGCUCGGUUGUGGUGUGAAAAUCGGUUAGAGAAACCAUUUCUUAAAGCCUCAGUCCGUGUGGUUCGCAGCUUAGUGUUGCUAGUAGCCUUCGGAUGUUGAAAGUUAUAGGACUCCCUGUGAGUCGGUUCAGGGUCGUUCUAAUUUCGAAUGUCGACUUGUAAAGUUGAUGUUUCGAUAGUAUUGGUUGUGAGCUUCUGGUUCAGUUAAGAGGUAUCAAGGGGCUUGAUACUUCGACGUGUCACACUUCCAACUCGUUGUUGAUAAUGGAUCUUCGGAUAUUUUGCUUUUCUUUUGAUAAGUAUAUUGGCUGCAGACAAUAUACUGUUGAAAGAGUGACGAAAUACUAUCUUCCCGUUUGGGACUUAUGGAUUGGGUCGAUGUGUUCUCUAGAGUGUCUUGUGGGAAAGCUUGAGUGUCGAUCUUUUCUGACCACGUAGCGAGCCUUGGGUUAUUCCUUAGUAGGUUUGGCACAGUUGACUUAUCGUCACUGAUAAAGGGGUUUUGACUCUAGUUCGAGUCUGGGUGUUCGUAGCUCUUAGUUGUGCUUCCCACAGUUAAAAGGUUUGCUUGGUUAGUAGUCUCGGUCUAUUUGCCGGGAGGUUCGAAAUCAGUGAUUGAGUGACUUGAGCCUGGUGGUUGGCCUUGAUUGUCACCAUAUAUGAUAGCGUAUAAGGUUGUGACUCGGCUUAGCGUGCAAAUCUUGGAAGGCUAUACUUGUCCGAUUAUUUGGUGACAGGUACGCCUGGGUCUCAAUGAGAUAGGCAUUUGGUGUUGCUCGGAACAUCGAUCGCUAGGGUCCAUGAUAGGACGGCAGCGACAGGGUCUUGUUGAGACAGGUGUUGAGCAUCACCAACGGUUAGUAUCGCUUUUGUGAUUGGCGACCUAUGCAUCAAGUGAUGGACUUGCAAAGAGCUUUCAGUGGUCUGUUGGUACCGUAUUAAGUUUGAGGAGACAUUGUCUAGCCCAAUUGGUAUCGUCAGUUGGACCUUUUGGUCAGAUGUAAAGUAACGUCUUGGACCUAGGACUAUAGAUUGUCGCAGAUGGCUUUAGGUUGAUGAGGUUUUGACAGUUUGUGUGGUUACUAGUGGAGACUGUGGUCUCCGGUGUGAGUGAUUUUGACUCGAAUUUUAGAACAACGUUUCUUAUUCGCUCGUGGUGAGCAAGUUGACGUUGUUGGCUAGUCAGAGUGUGUCUUUUCGGCCUAUAAAAAUACACUCCAGACUUGUGGUGUUGACUCGUGUCUCUUCUACGUGAACCUUCGACGUAAUCGAGUCGGUUACUGGUAUGCGGAUCAAGGUUGAGUGUAUUUAGAAUUUCUAAGUGGAGAAUUUUUAUCUCAGAGUUGGUAAUUGGGGAUCUGAUAAUCCUAGUCGCGGGAUUGUCUUUGUCCGCAGGUUAUAGGAUAAUGUUGAUCCCGGUGAGUUUUGGUCUGUAGAUUUUGGGUUGUUACGUUUUCCCUCGAUUUGUCCUGGAGGAAUCGUAGUCCUUGGUGUCUCCCCUUCUUCGGAGGUUGAGCUGUCCAAAUGAAUGGUGACUGAUCAGUACUCAAAGGUGAUAUCACAGAGGUGGAAGUAAUAUCCGAAUUUGAUUUUGGUGGGUAUGUGGUCAAGUUUCGGGGACGAAACUUCUUUUAAGGGAGGGAUAAUAUAAGGACUGAGAUUUUGACAGUGCAACUAAACUCUCUGUUGACGAUGUUUAUGUGUGUAAUUUAAUUACAUAAGCACUCGUCAAGUUUCAGGAGAAAAUGAGCUAAAAUGGAGAAGAUACGCAAUUUUUAGUUUUCACUUAAGUGAAUAGUAAUUCUGGUUUUCCGAAGAAGCCGCGGAGUAGAGUUGGCUUCUGGCACGUAUUGGACUCCGAACAUAGCAGUCCAAUAGCCCGUUUCGACCGGUUCAGCUAUUCUGGAACUAAUGACGCUGACGGAUUUUGAGUUUGACUCACGGAUUUUAAAUCAUUGAAUUUAAAAUUUAAAUAGUAAUAUGAAAUUCCUCUAGAGAAAACUAAUUGUAGAAAUCUUACUCUUUAAGUUUUUUAUGCAUUACGUUUUAAACUUGUGCGAAUAAACUGUCUUUUAAAUCUUGGUAGAAAUUUAGUUUUUAAAUAGUAAUAUGAAAUUCCUCUAAUUUAAAUUUCACUUUUAAAUUUUAAGUAUUUAAUUUUUAAAAUUUAAAUUCAUCGUAUUUAGAAAUAAAACUAUUUCUAAAAUUUCUAUAAUUUAAAUUAAUGCAUAAUUUGAGAAACACUAAAACAUUUAAAGUAGAUUCCUAAAUUAAUGCCUAAUAAUUGCAUAAAUUUGGUUAAUCAAUUAAUUUUCUAAAUUAGUGCUAAUUAAUGCAUAAAUUUAGGACCUCAAUUAAAAGUUUCUUUAAAUAUUAUAUUAUUUAAUUACCAAACUAACCUUGAAUAAAAUAAUCCUUUUACCUGCUAAGUAUUAAAGUUAUAUUUUUACUCUCUAUUAAUCAACGGUUAAAUUUUUUUUUUUUUUAUUUUUUUAAAGUACCGAAUCAUUUCUCCCAAAAUAAUUA